rnacentral:rRNA from 1 species
GUGGGGAAUAUUGGGCAAUGGGCGAAAGCCUGACCCAGCGACGCCGCGUGAGGGAAGAAGGUCUUCGGAUUGUAAACCUUUGUCAUCAGGAACGAAGAAAUGACGGUACCUGAGAAGGAAGCCACGGCUAACUACGUGCCAGCAGCCGCGGUAAUACGUAGGUGGCGAGCGUUAUCCGGAUUUACUGGGUGUAAAGGGUGUGUAGGCGGAGGAGCAAGUCAGAUGUGAAAUAUUAAGGCUCAACCUUGAUACUGCAUUUGAAACUGUUCCCCUUGAGUGUGGGAGAGGUAAGCGGAAUUCCCGGUGUAACGGUGAAAUGUGUAGAUAUCGGGAGGAAUACCGGUGGCGAAGGCGGCUUACUGGACCAUAACUGACGCUGAGACACGAAAGCGUGGGGAGCAAACAGG